ACGCUGGCGGCAGGCUUAACACAUGCAAGUCGAACGGUAGCAGGAGAAAGCUUGCUUUCUUGCUGACGAGUGGCGGACGGGUGAGUAAUGCUUGGGAAUCUGGCUUAUGGAGGGGGAUAACUACGGGAAACUGUAGCUAAUACCGCGUAGUGUCGAGAGACGAAAGUGCGGGACCGCAAGGCCGCAUGCCAUAGGAUGAGCCCAAGUGGGAUUAGGUAGUUGGUGGGGUAAAGGCCUACCAAGCCUGCGAUCUCUAGCUGGUCUGAGAGGAUGGCCAGCCACACUGGAACUGGGACACGGUCCAGACUCCUACGGGAGGCAGCAGUGGGGAAUAUUGCGCAAUGGGGGGAACCCUGACGCAGCCAUGCCGCGUGAAUGAAGAAGGCCUUCGGGUUGUAAAGUUCUUUCGGUAUUGAGGAAGGUUGAUGUGUUAAUAGUACAUCAAAUUGACGUUAAAUACAGAAGAAGCACCGGCUAACUCCGUGCCAGCAGCCGCGGUAAUACGGAGGGUGCGAGCGUUAAUCGGAAUAACUGGGCGUAAAGGGCACGCAGGCGGUUAUUUAAGUGAGGUGUGAAAGCCCCGGGCUUAACCUGGGAAUUGCAUUUCAGACUGGGUAACUAGAGUACUUUAGGGAGGGGUAGAAUUCCACGUGUAGCGGUGAAAUGCGUAGAGAUGUGGAGGAAUACCGAAGGCGAAGGCAGCCCCUUGGGAAUGUACUGACGCUCAUGUGCGAAAGCGUGGGGAGCAAACAGGAUUAGAUACCCUGGUAGUCCACGCUGUAAACGCUGUCGAUUUGGGGAUUGGGCUUAAAGCUUGGUGCCCGUAGCUAACGUGAUAAAUCGACCGCCUGGGGAGUACGGCCGCAAGGUUAAAACUCAAAUGAAUUGACGGGGGCCCGCACAAGCG
rnacentral:rRNA from 1 species